CAGAGAGACACAACAUUAAAAAUGAAGCACUCUCAUAUAUAACUCAUCUCCUAAACCUCCUUUUCAUUCUUCUCUUCUCUCUUCUCUUCCAUGAUCAUCUCCAUGUCUCUCUAAAAAAACACACACACAACAAAAACAACCUUCACUCUUCAAACCUCAUCAUCGUAAACACCAUCUCGUUCUUCUUAUAAUCUCCAUCAUCUCGUCACCCGAGAUUUCGGCCCAAAACACCAUUGGACCAUAUAUCUCGGAUCACCAAAAAAAAAAUACCUUCAAAAUCUCGUUUCAAGUUUCANNN
rnacentral:lncRNA from 1 species